rnacentral:rRNA from 1 species
ACGUAGGGUGCGAGCGUUAAUCGGAAUUACUGGGCGUAAAGCGUGCGUAGGCGGUUUCGUAAGUCGGAUGUGAAAGCCCCGGGCUCAACCUGGGAAUUGCAUUCGAGACUGCGAGGCUCGAGUGCGGAAGAGGGAAGUGGAAUUUCCGGUGUAGCGGUGAAAUGCGUAGAUAUCAGAAGGAACGUCGGCGGCGAAAGCGACUCUCUAGACCGUAACUGACGCUGAGUGUGCGAAAGCUAGGGGAGCAAACGG